rnacentral:miRNA from 1 species
AUUUGUAGUGUUCAGAUUAAGUUU